GUAAAUAUAACUUAANACAAAGUAUUAGANUGUGAAUCUAAAGAUAGAGAUUUAAACCCUCUUA
rnacentral:tRNA from 1 species